AGAGUUUGAUCCUGGCUCAGGAUGAACGCUAGCUACAGGCUUAACACAUGCAAGUCGAGGGGCAGCAUGGUCUUAGCUUGCUAAGGCUGAUGGCGACCGGCGCACGGGUGAGUAACACGUAUCCAACCUGCCGUCUACUCUUGGACAGCCUUCUGAAAGGAAGAUUAAUACAAGAUGGCAUCAUGAGUCCGCAUGUUCACAUGAUUAAAGGUAUUCCGGUAGACGAUGGGGAUGCGUUCCAUUAGAUAGUAGGCGGGGUAACGGCCCACCUAGUCUUCGAUGGAUAGGGGUUCUGAGAGGAAGGUCCCCCACAUUGGAACUGAGACACGGUCCAAACUCCUACGGGAGGCAGCAGUGAGGAAUAUUGGUCAAUGGGCGAGAGCCUGAACCAGCCAAGUAGCGUGAAGGAUGACUGCCCUAUGGGUUGUAAACUUCUUUUAUAAAGGAAUAAAGUCGGGUAUGGAUACCCGUUUGCAUGUACUUUAUGAAUAAGGAUCGGCUAACUCCGUGCCAGCAGCCGCGGUAAUACGGAGGAUCCGAGCGUUAUCCGGAUUUAUUGGGUUUAAAGGGAGCGUAGAUGGAUGUUUAAGUCAGUUGUGAAAGUUUGCGGCUCAACCGUAAAAUUGCAGUUGAUACUGGAUAUCUUGAGUGCAGUUGAGGCAGGCGGAAUUCGUGGUGUAGCGGUGAAAUGCUUAGAUAUCACGAAGAACUCCGAUUGCGAAGGCAGCCUGCUAAGCUGCAACUGACAUUGAGGCUCGAAAGUGUGGGUAUCAAACAGGAUUAGAUACCCUGGUAGUCCACACGGUAAACGAUGAAUACUCGCUGUUUGCGAUAUACUGCAAGCGGCCAAGCGAAAGCGUUAAGUAUUCCACCUGGGGAGUACGCCGGCAACGGU
rnacentral:rRNA from 1 species